rnacentral:miRNA from 17 species
UUCACAGAUGACUUCCUGAAGC